UCAGUCGACUCCUACGGGAGGCAGCAGUGGGGAAUCUUGCGCAAUGGGCGAAAGCCUGACGCAGCCAUGCCGCGUGAAUGAUGAAGGUCUUAGGAUUGUAAAAUUCUUUCACCGGGGACGAUAAUGACGGUACCCCGGAGAAGAAGCCCCGGCUAACUUCGUGCCAGCAGCCGCGGUAAUACGAAGGGGGCUAGCGUUGCUCGGAAUUACUGGGCGUAAAGGGAGUGUAGGCGGACAUUUAAGUCAGGGGUGAAAUCCCGGGGCUCAACCUCGGAAUUGCCUUUGAUACUGGGUGUCUUGAGUGUGAGAGAGGUAUGUGGAACUCCGAGUGUAGAGGUGAAAUUCGUAGAUAUUCGGAAGAACACCAGUGGCGAAGGCGACAUACUGGCUCAUUACUGACGCUGAGGCUCGAAAGCGUGGGGAGCAAACAGGAUUAGAUACCCUGGUAG
rnacentral:rRNA from 1 species